ensembl:lncRNA
GGAAUACUAUCUCUAAACUUGCAUCUUCAUUAUGAGAUCUAUUUCAGUGCUAUUGUUACUCCUGGGAAGAUCGUAGAUCCGUUUAUUUUGUGUGGGAGUGAUACUGAUGGUGAGAUGAUACUAUUCUUCCCUACACACCUCCCUGAUUUAUUGUGUAUUUGAGAAUAUCUCACUGCUUGCUGAUGAAAUUUGAGAAUAAUUUGCAUCCAUGUUAAACAAUAUGAAUCUUUGUCCACCCUUUCAGUUAAUUUAUUUUCUGAAACACAGGUAGUUUCCAGAAACAGAGUAAUAGUGAGAGGGUGGACUUUGAGAAUACUAAUUGUUAGAAGUUCUGUUUUUCAGAAAGGGUCUAGUUUGCUAAUAACUGUGACUGAGUUUCAUGAAGAAUAGAUUCAAAUGUUGGUUGAUUUACCUGAACAUGUCUUGGAAAAAAAAAAAAGGGGUGUAAUGUUUGAGCACUGGAGGAGCAAGAGAAGUAACUUUAUAGUUAGAGACGUUAGUUCCAUACAGAAGCAGCAGUAUGUGUUCUCAGUCACUGUGGAAAUUAUUCCUUUGUUUUCAGUUAUCAUAUCCUUGGCAUGGUAAAGCCUCUUCAGCCCCUACAAGGUCAUUUGAUUUGAUUGUCAGGCCUAGCACACUACAAAGGCAUUUGAUUUGAUUAUCAGACCUGUGUAGGUGCCUCUUUGAAAAUUUAAAUAUACUGUGAAUAGAAUAGAAACAUGUUUAUCCCACUUUCCCACUUAAUUUGUAUACUGUCCAGUGAAACACAGAACUGAAAAACCAAUGCAGUAAGCCUCCAUGUUCUUUUGUUCUAUUAAUACCACUGUGGUUGAAUAUCUUGAAAUUUUUGACCAUGCCAACAUGCCUGAUAUAAAUAGCUGUGCAAAUAGAGCUCAGCUGAGAUUACCAAACUUGGUGUUUUGCAUUUUUGAUCCAACUUGAAUGGGGAUGUCUGAAAGCAAGAUAGAAAUUAUCCCCUGUGGCACUAAUCUGGCAUGACGACUGAGAAAUUAAAGACCUUGUUUUCAGGAUUUUCUGCCUGACUGCCAUAUCACCAGUAGGCCUUUGCCUAAAGAUCCUGAUCUCAUGCUAGGACAGUGUCUGCUGUUCCUUCCUACAGAAAGAGCAUGAAAUAAGUGGAUGGAACACGGAAGUUCAGAUAUACUUCAUCUUAGUUCUUAGCUCAUUAUCUUUUCUACUUCCUUAUCAAAACAGCCUCCCUCUUCUAUUUUUCCUUUUUCCUUCAGGCAGCCCCCUUAACCUGAAUGUUUCCUCAAACAGGGCCCUUUGUAGACUGUCAAAGCUGAACUGUAAAAUGUUUUUAAAAAGUCUAUUUCAAAGUGUGAACCAGUUAUCUGACUUAGGAAGAGGAUUUUUUGCUGGGAAGCAUUGGAUGUUAAUGUCGGAGUUAAUAGCUCUACCUUUAGGAGCCUUGCAAUAUCUUCAAGAAAUUUCUAUGCAGGUAGGAUGUGUACAUGUAGUAAAGGAAGCUAGAGGUGUGGAAUUCACAGAAGGUAAUUUAAUUUCAGUAGAGUGGGUAGGCCUGUAGAUAGGAGAUGGAAGACUGCAAGAGUUGUAGCAAGUGCAUUUCUUAAAAUAGAGAUAUUCUCAGGAUUUAUCUUAUAGUAAAUGAAAAUAAAGACUAUAGCCCAUAUCUCCUGUCUACCAUCAAAAUAUUAGAAGCGUAAUUUGAGAACAAGUCUUAAGGAGUUUUCAUUUAUGUAAUAUAUGGUUGGGAUUAAUGAGUUAUAGUCAAAUUAUUAUGCGGGAGAGAGAAAGGAAGAAGCAGUACUUAACUUGUAGUCAGUUUACUGCUAGGGGUAACACGCAAGCUGUUGGAAAAAACAACAACAAAAGCCAACAAAAACAACACCACUACCAACAAAACCACCUCUUGGGAGUUGUUGGAAUAGUUAUGUAGGUGAAAGUUCUUGACAGAAUGCUGGUGUUCUCUGAGUCUGACAGUAUUGUGUUAUAUGAAAAUAAAUCAUCCGUUUUUCCAGGACUUUCAAAGAUGUUAAAACUCUGCAUCAGCUCUGUAUCUGUACAGAGACAUUACCUACCCAGACCAGAUCAAAGUUGGAAUAUAUACAUCUUGGAAUUUUUUUGUUGUUGUUUUCCUCACUCAAGGUGUUUUAAAUGUCAUUUUUUAAUGUGUACAAGAGCACAACUUCGUUGAAUGUUUUGGUUUUUUAGUGCUUUUGUGUACCUAGUCUAUACUAUUUUUUCCUUUUCCUCCCCUACAAUACAGGUGUGAAGAUCUAACUCAGCUCAACUAAUGACCCGUGAGUGCCACAUGUUGUCUCUGCAUAUGAUUUUUUAAAAAGAAUAGAAAAUGUAUACUACUUUUCUGUUAACUUUCAGAAAGGUUCUCUUCCCAGCAAAUGGAUAACUGUUUUCCUUUUUAAUCCAGCCAUCAUUUGGAAAUCUAGGUUGAGCUUCACAAGUGAAGUACAAACAGAGGGUCUAAAAAGGUGUCAGCUCUCUGUGGUUGGUGGAUCCUUCUGUACUUUUAUUCCUGUUAUGACCUUGUGAGAACAAAUAUGUACAUAUAUCUUCAUAUUAGGGCAGCUGUGGUACAGAAAGUACGAAAAAGCUGCUCUGAAUGGUGAAGACUUAUUUAGCAAACUGGUCUUUAGAGGUGCAUCAGUAAAAUGUACCUUGAUCAAUGACAAUAGUAACAGUACACAUUUUUCUACUGCUGUCUUAAUCAUGUCUGUGCUCAGCUGAUUUUAUUUCCAGAAAUCAUUAAUUGUGAGACCUCAUGCUUUGCUAAAUACUUUACAAGGUUCUCUCCAUUUAAUCAGGCAUUUAUAAUGAAUGGCUUUGCAGUAACUGUCUGCUGCUGUAUUUUGGGCUUUCAUACACCUUUUGUAAUUAAAUAGAUUGUUUUCUUUAGAAUACUGUUAUAUAGCAAUUAUAUUGCUUCUCUAAGGCCUACAAGAUGAGAGUUGAUUAUCAAUACCUGAUCAAACAAUUUUUUUCAUGGCCAAGUGUUUGCAGGCCAGUCUCAUUAAUCAAGAAGUUUGCUGCUUAUGAAAACAUGGCCAUCUUUACACACCUUAUUUAGGAAAUAAAUGUAAGCAUUUAGUUUUACUAUUUUAAUUUUCUUCCAGAUGCUGUUCCUCAAAUUGCAGGGCAGCUGAAGGAAUAAGAGCCUUAAUUCAGUGUUACAAUACUGUCUAUUCAAAUAAGUUGAGAAGCACUGAAGCAAGAAAACUUAAAACUUAAUAUGAUGUAAAAGUGUACUACAAACUUACUUGAACAGCAUCUUGUUCUUCAGAUAAAUAUUAGGCAAAGAAUCUAUAAAACUGGAGGCAGCAGUCAGCUAAGGCUAACAAGAUUUUAGGCUUGCGGCGACAGGAUCAGCAGCAUUUCAUGCCAUUUUAGGCAUUACUACAUGCUUUGCUUCAACCUUUUGUCAGUUCCUUCCACAACAGAAUCCUGCUGCUGUAUCCAAAUCCCUGGUUAUUCCAUGAGAAGUGUUUGACAUGGAUUUUGUUGAAGAUUUUGAUGUACACUUUCAGGAUUAUUUAUUCCAAAAGGUUUUAUAGUGCCGUGCAGAAGAUGAACAUUUCAAGUUCUUGAACUUUAAAAUAUUUGUACUUCCUCAGAAGUCUCCAGUCACUGACACAGUUUUUAAUACUUAGUGAACAGAAUGAAACAGGCUGCAUGUCUUUCAAGCUCCAAGUACAGUGGAGGAGGAAAUAAAUAGUGAAGGGAGUUUUUGUGGUAGUGUUUUACUCUCAGUUCUUGAUUAGUGUAUGUCUGCUGUCAUAGUUGCUGCCUAGGAGCUGGAAUGAGCACCUCUUAGAAGCAGUUCCAGUGUCUGAUCCAGCUGCUACUGAAGUCCAUCGCAAAAUUGCUACUUAUCUCAAACACAACCUUGAUCAGUCCUAACGCAAUAAUCUGGAAGGAAAAUUCAGUGUUCCAGAUACAUCAAAAACACUUGAGGAUUAACAGGAUGUGCUUUUAAUCCUCCUUCAGUAGCUCAUUGAAAUAGAUGGCUGGGACUAUGACUGUAAUUUUUAUUUUCAUUCUGGAACACUUGCCUGACAGAAAAUCCCCUGUCAGGCCAAGAACAUAUAAGAUUUUCAGCUGUGGGUCCAGUAUGAUUGAUUGUAACCAUCCAUCUCAGGGACAUUUGACGGAGAUUACUGAAUAAGACCAACAGUGUGGGUAUUGAUUCUGUAUUGCAGUCUGAAUGAUUGAAGGUGUAAAUGUGCCCUGAUUCAGCAGACGAGGAUUGGCAAAUGCAGGCAGGUAACAUUUUGCUCCAAAAACAUUUUUGUGAUUCCAAAUCUCUUGUGAUUUUAAAACAAAUACUGUUGAAUGAGAUUUUGAGCUUCAUAGUCCUUGAUGCGUACGUGAAAAGUAUUUUAUUCUUCCUAGAUGCUGCUGGAGCUUCAUUUGGUGUUUUUUUUAAAAAGGGCUCCUCUUUGCUAAAUUUCCUCUUAAGUAUAUGUAGGUUGCUCUGAAAGUAAUGCCUCCUCUUUAUUUCCAUGAAAACUGCUACAGCUACAAAGAGCACUGUGACACUGUUUGAUAGAGAAAAUUCUCAGCUACAGAACGUUUUUUUAACAUACUUUUGGAGCAGUCCUUGUGUAUUUCAUAUUCUGUAAUUCUGCAGAUAUCAAUAAAAUCAUAGUACUAUCAUAUUUUUCAUGCUAUUUAUGCCUGCAGGGUGCUGAGCAAUGGCAAGGCACUAACUUCCAUUACAGCUAUUGCUAAUUAAUCUGAAUAAAUUUGAGAAGCGUGCUAUAGUUUAUAUCCAGAAAGCUCAGCAUGAAAUAUACAAAGUGUCUUGCUUUUAUAGCUCAAAUGAUGUCUGUAAUGAUUUGAAGUUCUUAGCAACAUGUAAAACAUUUUAUCAUUUUAUCUCUUCAUCUAUUAGUAAAAUAUGCCCUACUUAUAAGAAGAGUCUUAGAACUUUCAUUCUCCCAUGGUACUUUUAAUGGCUAUAUACUUCCUUGGAAAUAGAUAGAUCACUACUCAUUUCUUACUGCUGCUACUUCAAUUUUUGCCACUAGAGUUUUUAUUCAGCUUCCAGACUCUUUACCAUUCUUCUUUUCUACCCUUGCUCAUUUGCUGAGUAGAGUGGGAGUCAGACGUUAUCCUGAUAGCUUCUGUUGGAAAUGCUGCCAGUUGUGAAAUGGAUACACUUUUCACUCAUUGUUUGUGCAAAUUUUUCUAAUCCAUCCACCGACUGCACAUCCUGGCCUUUAUUAGCUGCUAUUUUCCUUCUUGAAGCACCAAGGUAAAGGAUGGUAAAAGGAUUUCCUGUCUCUGGGCUACAGCUUGGUUUCACAAUUCAAGUGCAGAUCUACAAACAAUAAGAAACAACACCCUUCUGUGCGAGGCAAUUGUAAGGCAGCCAUGGCAGUUCAAAUGCUGGGGAGAACUGUUCUAUGGUACAAGAAGGAGCAGCAUUCUGGCAGCUCUUGCUGAAGCAGCUGGGAAAGUGACCUUAUAAACAGAGCUGGUAUCCUCCUCUCUGUUCACUGCCUGAGGAGUUGGAGGUGCUGAAAAACAAAGGAGGCAAACUAUCCUGUCAGUAAUCUGCUUUGCUGGACCCUGGAAACAUUCCUACUCACUGCAGUGACUGUGCAAGUUCUGUGUGCUGAAGCAACAAGUGUGGCACGGUAUGUGGAGAAACACCACUAGUGAAAGGAGCGGGGACCCAGCAGCUGGAUAACCAUAUGCCAGGGCUCUUGGGAUAUCUUGCCAGCCACCAAUUUUUUGUUUGAACCUGAGCCCCCAGCUUCCAGUGCAUUGAUCAGGGAGUACAUCAGAAGCUUUCAAAAGUAAUAAAGAGUCUAAGGAGACAAGAACAUGAAAAACCAAGCAAACUAUAAUUCUCCAAGACCUAAAAAAGAAGACUCAUAGCUCCUCCUUCAUGUUACUAAUUUCAUACAGCAUAAUGAAAAAAAGAGACUAACAGCUUUGAGCCUUGCCAAGAUGGAUGGUUCAGAUAGUGGUAAUUUCUUAGUUUAGGGGGAGAAGUGUAAAUUUUUAGGCUUGGCCACUGCCAUGUUCCAUCCACGCUGCAGUUUGGAAUGAGCUCACAAUGUUCAGCUGACAACAGAAGAAAAAGUAACAGAAUGUCUCAGAAAAUGGCUAUUCAUGUCCAAAUACAAAAUGCAACUUUUUGGAAGGACUUUCCUAUAAUUAAACAGGAGCUUAAUUUUGGGCUGGCUUUUGUAUUUGCUCAAAAUUGAAGCUUUUCCUCUUUUAUGAGAUCUUCACUGUCAUUGUAUUUUUACGUGAACACUUGUUUGUACAAGUGAUAUGUACUGAGUACAGGACAUAUACUUAACAACAGACAUGCAGUUUAUAUUGUAUUUUGUAGGUUCAGGAUGAGCACUACUAAGGAAAAAUGCAGCAUGUUAUUGAACUCUGGGGAGAUCAUGAUAGGCAUACAAAUAUGUGCUCUUAUAAUUAUGCUUCCUUAACCUCUGUCAAUUUGCAAUGGACAUUUUAAAUUCAAUGUGGAAUCAAGUUUACUCAUUUGUUCAUGUUUUCUUGUCACAGCUGGAAUCUCCACUGGCAUUGAUUUUACACUGCUUCUAUUUCAUUCACUUCAGUGGUAUUCAUAAGAUAGAAGAUGAUGCAAUCAUUUUAGUUUUACACCACAUGGAAUAACAUGCCUUCAGACAAGACUGGUAUCUGGCUAAUGGCGACUUCAAAGUCUUACAUGCUGUAACAAACAACGUGAG